GAGGCCAUAGCUCAGUGGUAGAGCACAUGCUUAGCAUGCACGAGGUCCUGGGUUCAAUCCCCAGUACCUCCU
rnacentral:tRNA from 1 species